rnacentral:misc_RNA from 1 species
GAAAUGCGAUAAGUAGUGUGAAUUGCAGAAUUCAGUGAAUCAUCGAAUCUUUGAACGCACAUUGCGCCCUUUGGUAUUCCUUAGGGCAUGCCUGUUCGAGCGUCAUUUAAACCUUCAAGCCCUGCUUGGUGUUGGGUGUCUGUCCCCGCUUGCGCGGACUCGCCUUGAAAUCAUUGGCGGCCGGUACGUUGGCUUCGAGCGCAGCAGAAACGCGAACUCGGGGCCCGGCGGAUCGGCGACCAGAAGUGCCUUCUUCACAGUUUGACCUCGGAUCAGGUAGGGAUACCCGCUGAACUUAA